UGCAGAUUAUGUCUCCAUUUGGUAUUUUUGUUCUUGAGUCUCUGUCUAAUGUCACUUCCUCUUUUACCUUUCAGCAAGGAAGAGCAUAUUCUCUGGAGUCACACUCCAUGAAGCUGUGUUAAAUCCAGCUUUCCUCUCUUAACUGUGAUACGAUCACUCACAUUAUUCGUAUGUGUGUGAGUUGUUCUGGGAAAACUUUAUUGCUGACAAUGGUGUUUUGUUUCCAUGGCAACUGCUCGGACCCGUUCCCUUUGCCACUGAGGAGAUGAGGCAAGGUGUAGCUGGGGGCAUUUCCGACUGACCACGGUUGUCAUGUGACACUGAGAAGACUUGGCUCCACUUGGCUCAUCUCCGUCCCCCUCUCUGACCCCAUGAGCACACGUCUGUCUCCAUGGAGAGGAACAAAAUAAAUCAGAGGCUCCUGGGUUCUUGAAGAAGCAUUUAAAUCCCAUGGCCUGUUCAUCAUCCUUUGUGUCUGGCUGUAUCCAACCUCCAAAUCAUCCAAGAGUUCAGGUGCUGCAUUACCUAUGCUGUGACGAGCAGGUGUGUUAUGAUGUGGACUUUGAGAACCGCCUCCAUGCAUUGCCGGCCCAUCCUCUAUCCCGGAACUGUGAACCCGAGAGGGUCGCCGUAGCCUGCUGUGACCUCUCCCCCCUGGUUCUUCUGAGGUUAGACACUCAUCACAGCCCCUUUCCUGAGCAAAAACAUUAGCAUGAGCUUUCAGUAUCCUGGGGAGCCUUUCAGGACUCUUAAAUGCUAACAUCUUGCUUUCAUGGUAAACUAAACGCUUUUAGUUUCUCUGCAUCUAGGGAUUCUCUCUAUAACAGUAAAAGAGAUUAAGGAGCAGUUAGGCUCUGCUGGAUCAUCUGAGCCAUCUGCCCUACAUAUUGUCCUUUAUGGUAUUUCUCUAACAAAUAGAGAUGUUUAAAGUCUGCAGAAGAACUACGCUGGUGGAGCAGCAGAGCUACAUGCCCCAUGAGACUGCAGGAUUUAGACUAACAGCUUAUAGUUAUUUGAUUUCUUCAAUCUAAUUAGUGCGAGUCUGGUCAUUCUCACUGAUUAUAUUCAAUUAAAGGAUCAUAGUAUGGGAUGUAAGGGAUUACAGUGGUUAUAUAUAUAGGGCAUCUGAAAAAUGAAAAGACCAUGUAUAUACUAUACUAUAUGAACAAACAAUGAACAGCUGGAUUUUUAAAGAUUAAUAAAUACUGUAACAAAUUAAAGAUUAAUAAAUACUGCAACAAGUGUA